CGCGCGCCGGGAAAUGGCCGGGCGCGCGGCCGGCCUGCGGCGCGCUCCACAACGCGGAACGGGCCUCAGAAGAGCCACCGCGCGCGCUCCCGCUAAUUCGCGACCACACCCCUGUCUACUUCCAUGUCCAAUAGGUGCGAGAGGGCGGGACGGCCUCGUUCUGACUCCGGGAGGCUAUAUAAGGAGCUACUGGCUGCGCACUUCGGUCUUUUACGUCGGCCUUCGCGAGCGUCUGGGCGGGUGGUAGGAACAAUGGCGCUGUCUUCAGUGGCACAGUGGAGCAGCUCUGAAGAUGCAAAGAUACACGAAAAAACUUCCAGAACAUCUGGGAGAAUAUUUAAUGGAAAAUCGCUUGGUUAAAACCUGACACUUUUAACAGUGAACAGCGUUCUGAGUGUGGACGAGUAGCCAGUGAAGAUAAUGAAUGUCGAAUGUGACUGACUAGCAGCUUCAUUUUGAAUGAGGGUCGCUGUCUGCCCAUUGAUAGAGGCCAGAUUGUCUUGGAAGUUCCAAAGUUGCAACGAUUUCUGGCUAGUGCCACGAGGUUUACUUGACUGUUGUGUGAAAAGCUGAUAAGAAAACCAUCCAGAAAAAAGCUCUUCGUUUUACAAACAUGAAAAUAAAACAUUUAGUUGAAUCCAUGGACAUGAAACCCACAGAUAUAGAGGGUUGGCCCGGUGCAGUGGCUCACGCCUGUAAUCCCAGCACUUUGGGAGGCCAAGGCGGGUGGAUCACCUGAGGUCAGAAGCUUGAGACCAGCCUGGCCAACAUGGGUACUGCUUUCUCUUGCUGCAGCUUGCUUCCUCCCUCAGGUAUGAAGUUAAGCUACUCGGGAGGCUGAGGCAGGAGAAUCGCUUGAACCCGGGAGGCGGAGGUUGCCAUGAGCCGAGAUUGCGCCACUACACUCCAGCCUGGGCAACAAAAGCGAAACUCCAUCUCAAAAAAAAAAAAAAGGCAUAUAAAAUUAUAGCUGGGUAGGAGGAAUAAGUUCUAGUGUUCUACACCACUGUGGGAUGACUAUAGUUAACAAUAAUACAUACUUUCAGGUAACAUGAAGGAGGAUAUUGAAUGUUCCUAACACAAAGAAAUGAUAAAUGUUUGAGAUGGUGGAUGUACUAAUUGCCCUGAUCUGAUGACUAUACAUUAUAUAUAUUGAAACAUCAGUAUGUACCCCAUGAAUAUGUACAAUUAUAUGUCAACUUAAACACAUUUAAAAGUAAAAAAAAAAAAAUCCAAAACACGCAAGGAACUGAGCCAGCACGAAUAAGAAUUAGCAAAAUCUUCAAACCUCAAGACCAGACUCACAAGGACUUCAGAUACAGAAAUUUUAAAUAAAAAUUAUAAAAUGAGUAUGUUAAAAUGUUUAAAGAAAUAAAGGAAGGCAUUGGUAUAUGAUACAGAAAUAAAAGACCAUCAAAAAUAAUUUGGAUGACAUGAAAACAAUCAAAUAGACAUUCUGGAAAUAAAACAUAUAUAAUGGACAGGAGUGAAUGUCCCUAGGCUCCUGACCUCUCUGCAUUUGCAAGUAGUCUGAGCCAGAAAACGCUGAAAGACCUCAGAAGCCAAGUGGAAGCCCCACAGUGAAGCCAGGAGGGCCUUCAUUUCAGACUCAGCAGCUGCCCACGGUGGUGGCUGACACACUGCUGUAGCAUGUGUGCUGCCUGAACACUCACUGGCCACCCCCACAGCCCAGAGCACUGGCAUCAUCUGUACUAUCGGCCUAGUUUCCUGAUUGGUGGAAAUGUUGAUGAUUAAGUCUGGAAUUAAUAUGGCUUGUCUGAACUUACGAGUACCACGCAGAGACCAUCAGGAAUGUGUGCACAACUAUGGAAAGCCUUGCUUCUGACCCCAAUCUCUAGCGGCUAGUUGCUGUGGCUCUGGACACUAACGGGCCUGAGAUCUGAACUGGGCUCACACAGAGCAGUGUCCCCAUGGAGGUGGAGCUGAAGAAGGGAGCCACCUUCAGAUCACACUGGAUAAUGCCUACAUGGAAAACUUAUGAUGAGAACUUCCUGUAGCUGGACUACAAGAACAUUUGUAAGGUAGUGGAAAGGGGCAGCAAGAUCUAUAGAUUUAAUAACUUAUUUCUCUGCAGUUGGAGCAGAAAGGUACUGACCUCCUGGUGAUAGCAAUGGAAAAUUAUGGCUCCUUGGGCAGCAAAAAGGGUGUAGACCUUCCUGGUGACUGUGGACCUGCUUGCCAUGUCAGAAAAGGACAUCCAGGAUCUGAAGUUUGGGGUAGAAUGGGAUGUGGAUAUGGUGUUUGCCUCUUUCAUCCAUGUGGCAUCUAAUGUCCAUGAAAUUAGAAAGGCAAUUAUUGCAAACUGGAGCAAGGUGCCCACUUGCCCACCAGAGUUAGGCUCUUACCUUCCCAGAGGAACUGAGACCCACAGCUAUUUUUAUAUAUCUUACAGUUCAGAUCAGAUACAAAUAUGUAAACCUCUACAUUAUUUCUAUGUAGAAAUUAUGAUACUCUUUAAGCCUGUCACAGAUUUUGUUAUUUAAUGCAAAGAAGCACAUAUAUUACUAUGGGACACUUUUGGUUUGUUUAAAUAUUUUGAUAGUUGUAUUUUAAUGUAAAGGGUUUCAUUUGUAAUCUUAUACAGAUGGUCCCCAACUUACAAUGGUUCAACUUAUGAUUUUUCAUCUUUACAACGGCAUGAAAGCAAUACAUUUUCAGUAGAAACUGUAGGUCAAAUACUCAUACAACCAUUCUGUUUUUCACUUUACUGCAGUAUUUAAUAAACAUAUGAGAUAUUCAAGAUUUUAA
rnacentral:lncRNA from 1 species